rnacentral:rRNA from 1 species
AGUAAACGCUGGCGGUAGGCCUAACACAUGCAAGUCGAACGGCAGCACAGAGGAGCUUGCUCCUUGGGUGGCGAGUGGCGGACGGGUGAGGAAUACAUCGGAAUCUACUCUGUCGUGGGGGAUAACGUAGGGAAACUUACGCUAAUACCGCAUACGACCUACGGGUGAAAGCAGGGGACCUUCGGGCCUUGCGCGAUUGAAUGAGCCGAUGUCGGAUUAGCUAGGUGGCGGGGUAAAGGCCCACCAAGGCGACGAUCCGUAGCUGGUCUGAGAGGAUGAUCAGCCACACUGGAACUGAGACGCGGUCCAGACUCCUACGGGAGGCAGAAGUGUGGAAUAUUGGACAAUGGGCGCAAGCCUGAUCCAGCCAUACCGCGUGGGUGAAGAAGGCCUUCGGGUUGUAAAGCCCUUUUGUUGGGAAAGAAAUCCAGCUGGCUAAUACCCGGUUGGGAUGACGGUACCCAAAGAAUAAGCACCGGCUAACUUCGUGCCAGCCGCCGCCGUAA